rnacentral:lncRNA from 10 species
GUGAAUCAUGAGGGUGGUUUCCCCAUCCUGUUCUCGUGAUAGUGAGUAAGCUCUCAUGAGAUCUGAUGGUUUUAUAAGGGGCUUUCCCCUUCUCUGGGGACUCAUUCUUUGCUCUCCUGCUACCACGUGAAGAAGGAUGUAUUUGCUUCCCCUUCUGCCAUGUUUGUAAGUUUCCUGAGGCCUCCCCAGCCCUUCAGAACUAUGGGGUAACACAUAGAAAAGGCACGGAGAAGUUAAGUGAUUUGCCUGUGGUCACAAAGCCUGUUAGCAGCAAACCCAGAACAAGAACCUAAGAUUUAUGACCGCCAGUUCCAGCUGUUUUUCUUCGUCAUGUAUCCUCAGCAAUCAACAUAAUCAAAAUCUGUUUGGAGACUACUGAUUUGUAUAAAGGAAGAUAACACCGAACAACCAAACAGGAAGUAAUCCAGCGAAUCUGGAACAGCGGUGGAAUUUAGAAGCAAGGCCAGAUGAGGACCCUAAGACCUAGAGAAACUAAGUCAUUUGCUCAAGAAGACAAAGAAUUGGCUGCCAUAACUCAGUGUUCCCGGGACCUGCAGUGGGCAGAGCACCAGCACAACCCGUAGAAAGCAGCUCCAAGAUCAGCACCCUCUCAUAAACCUACCGAGCCAGGAGCAUCUUCCAGGCCCUCCACUCUCAGGAGUUUCAAGGAGAAAACAAAAUGCUGAGGACUGGGAAUGAGAAGCUUCAACCUUGCACAAUCUCUACAUUUUGCUUUACUCCCAAGAGGGACGAAUGAAGAAUGUUGUUAUUGAUGCUAUGACCACUUCUCUCCCAUAUUGUGCCCAGUAAACAUGGUCUUACUCAUUAUUGAAAUACUAGCAUUCUUCUAUAAUGGUUCGUACACAGCUGCUGCCCAGAGCACUGAAUAACACAUACUACCAGGUGUCAAACCCAGAUUUCCCCAGUCUCUCCUUAAUUUCCAGCAAUAAAAAGAUUAGCCUGGCACAGCAGGUCUUCAGACCCUUUCUGAUUUUGAAUAGUGAUUUGAACACCUCUCCUAGCUGUGUCCCCUUUGGGUUUAAGAAUAAGAUAGAAGAUAUAUUGCUUUCCAUUUUAAAAUGUUUAACUUCUAUUCAAGAAUAAAUAUUGAUGAAGGGCAUCUAGGUACUAGUGAUUUUUCCUGAUGUCCAUUUUGUGAACUUCACAGAAGACUUUGAUUUCACCUUAAACCAAAGAAAACGUUCACAGAUAUCUUAUAAAUCUACUAUUUUUCAUGAUUAUAAUAACCUGUCAUCAUGACAAGCCAUGUUCAUUAACAAAAGAAAUCAUAGGGGCAGCUUCUAUUGGGCACUUAACUCCUUCAUCCAUGAAAUUAUACUUUAUGUGAAUUUAUUUUUGGAAAGUUCAGGUAGUUUAAAUUUUAAAUAUAUAGACUAGAAAGAAAUUGGGACCUUAAAAACUAUUUUACAGGAAAAAUGUUUCUGCCUGUCCUCAUAUUUCCUUCUUUUUUUUUUUUAACAGUGUUAGAUUUCUGCAGAACUAAUACCCUUUAAAUACUCUUGUCACACUUCAGAGGACACUAUGCAAAUUCUCAGAGGCCACACAAUUUCCAGGUAUAUUGUGAGGCCUCUGAUAAGAUUUGUAUACUGUUGACACCUACUUAAUAUAUGGAUAAAUAAAUCUCCA